rnacentral:rRNA from 1 species
UACGUAGGGCGCAAGCGUUAUCCGGAAUUAUUGGGCGUAAAGAGCUCGUAGGCGGUUUGUCGCGUCGGCUGUGAAAACCCGGGGCUCAACCCCGGGCCUGCAGUCGAUACGGGCAAACUAGAGUGUGGUAGGGGAGACUGGAAUUCCUGGUGUAGCGGUGAAAUGCGCAGAUAUCAGGAGGAACACCGGUGGCGAAGGCGGGUCUCUGGGCCAUAACUGACGCUGAGGAGCGAAAGCGUGGGGAGCGAACAGG